rnacentral:rRNA from 1 species
GUAAUGUAUCGGAACGUGCCCAGUCGUGGGGGAUAACGCAGCGAAAGCUGCGCUAAUACCGCAUACGAUCUAUGGAUGAAAGCGGGGGACCGUAAGGCCUCGCGCGAUUGGAGCGGCCGAUAUCAGAUUAGGUAGUUGGUGGGGUAAAGGCUCACCAAGCCAACGAUCUGUAGCUGGUCUGAGAGGACGACCAGCCACACUGGGACUGAGACACGGCCCAGACUCCUACGGGAGGCAGCAGUGGGGAAUUUUGGACAAUGGGCGCAAGCCUGAUCCAGCAAUGCCGCGUGCAGGAAGAAGGCCUUCGGGUUGUAAACUGCUUUUGUACGGAACGAAACGGUCCUGGUUAAUACCUGGGGCUAAUGACGGUACCGUAAGAAUAAGCACCGGCUAACUACGUGCCAGCAGCCGCGGUAAUACGUAGGGUGCAAGCGUUAAUCGGAAUUACUGGGCGUAAAGCGUGCGCAGGCGGUUUUGUAAGACAGGCGUGAAAUCCCCGGGCUUAACCUGGGAAUGGCGCUUGUGACUGCAAAGCUGGAGUGCGGCAGAGGGGGAUGGAAUUCCGCGUGUAGCAGUGAAAUGCGUAGAUAUGCGGAGGAACACCGAUGGCGAAGGCAAUCCCCUGGGCCUGCACUGACGCUCAUGCA